rnacentral:rRNA from 1 species
UACGAAGGGGGCUAGCGUUGCUCGGAAUCACUGGGCGUAAAGGGUGCGUAGGCGGGUCUUUAAGUCAGGGGUGAAAUCCUGGAGCUCAACUCCAGAACUGCCUUUGAUACUGAAGAUCUUGAGUUCGGGAGAGGUGAGUGGAACUGCGAGUGUAGAGGUGAAAUUCGUAGAUAUUCGCAAGAAAACCAGUGGCGAAGGCGGCUCACUGGUCCGAUACUGACGCUGAGGCACGAAAGCGUGGGGAGCAAACAGG